AUAACCCUAUUUUUCCCUCUCAAACCCUCACCUCACGGCUUCUCUUUCACUCAGCCGCACACACUCUCUCACUUUCUUGCUUUCUCUCUCGACAACACCUGAGAAGCUUGGGAUAAAAACAAUGGGAUAAAAACAAUUUGGGGAUUUGAACUGGGGCUCUAGGGUUCAUUUCACAUCAGCCACAAAAUUGAAGAAGAAGAAAAGCAAGGAAGGAGAGGCGCGCAGCUAAAGAGCUCCUGUCGACGGCGCAGCGGGGUUGGGUGGGCUCCUAUUCUCAGCCAUCUCUCUUUCUUGUUGGGGUUCAACGGAGUGAGGCUUGGCAUAUAUGGCUAAGCUCAUCUUCCUAGUGAGGCUCAGUGAAGGGUGAUGCAUGGACGACUUUCGUUGGGGUUUAGAGAAACAAGGCUCGACACUUGGCUAAAACUCUACUUGGAUAUUUAAGAGAACCAAGACAAUUAUAUAAGAGAACCACGGCAACAAGAAAUUCUUCUUCAAGUUGUUGGGUAUUAUUUUCUUUCUUGCUUGUAAGAAUUAUGUACAAUGAGGUUUUUAUUUAUGUAUAUAGUUUUGUUGUGUUCUAACAUUAUGUAAUAGAUAGAUUACUUUCAAUUGUAAAAGUUAGUUUUUUUAAAAAAUAAGACAAUUAAAUUGUUAAUAGAAUUAUCUCCUUGUAUAAAUUUUGUUAUUAUAAUCUAUAAGUUUUUAGAUUUGUAUACAAA